GGANACGUUGGCUGUGUGACUAAGGUAUGCUAGUCGGACGAUCCCUUUGAAUUACUUGAGACUUCGGUUGAUUGUUUUUCUUUUUGGGAUAGUGGCAAACGGGCGAGUAACAUGUGGAUUAUCUGCCCUGAAGACGGGAAUAGCUCAUCGAAAGAUGGGGUAAUACUCGAUAGCCUUACAUUCUUUUAGUAUGUAAGUAAAGCUUUUGCGCUUCAGGAGGAGUCCGCAUCCUAUCAGCUUGUUGGUGAGGUAAUGGCUCACCAAGGCUAAGACGGGUAGCUGGCGUGAGAGCGCGGUCAGCCACCAUGGGAACUGAGACACGGUCCAUACUCCUACGGGAGGCAGCAAUUAGGAAUCUUGCGCAAUGGGGGCAACCCUGACGCAGCGACACAGCGUGGAGGAUGAAGGUCUUCGGAUUGUAAACUCCUUUUAUAUGGGAAGAAUAGAUGACUGUACCAUAUGAAUAAGGACCUGCUAACUACGUGCCAGAAGCAUCGGUGAUGCGUAGGGUCCGAACGUUAUCCGGAUUUAUUGGGUGUAUGGAGAUGCGUAGGCGGUUUGAUAAGUCUUAAGUUAAAGACCUCGGCUCAACCGAGGAAAAGCUUUCGAUACUAUCAGACUUGAGGCAUAGAGGGGUGAACGGGAAUUCCGAGUAGAGUGGUGAAAUACGUUGAUAUUCGGAGGAACAUCAGUGGCGAAGGCGGUUCACUGGCUAUUGCCUGACGCUCAGGCUCGAAAGCGUGGGUAGCAAAACGGAUUAGAUACCCGUGUAGUCCACGCUGUAAACUAUGGNAUGCUAGGUGUUCGGUACAACUGU
rnacentral:rRNA from 1 species